GAACACGAGUCCUUUUCAAAGCCACACGUCUCCUAAUAGCGAACCAUUUCAACACACUAGAGAUCUUUGUCCAUCUCCUCUGUGCCUCAGCAACAGCUGUGGAACGUGCCAACAGGAAGCCCUCAACAGCACUAUGUAAAUCAGCUGAUUCUUCCAAACCAAGGUUAUGAGACGGAAUAGCUGGAUCAAAAAACCGCAGAUGAUCGUCGUCACAAAAAGCUUGAGUCAUGGUAUCAGUGUCACAAAUGAGAUGGUUGGAGACUUGGCCUGAGAAACUCAAAGGAUGAUCAUAUCUAAGACCCAUAUUUUCAAUGCUGGGCAAGGCAUAAUCAUCCAAGCCACUUACACCACCAACAGAAUACAUAGAUGAAAUAAUAUCUGGAGAAGAAGCAUUUGGUUGUGCAUAAUCAAAUCCACCCAUCUUGUGUGAAUCCAAAGGCUUGUUACCAUUACAGCUCUCUGACCUCGGUGAGCUUGAAGGAUAUGGAAUGUUAGACAAGUGUGAUGAGCCAUCCACAAGAGAGGCUUCAUCUUCAAAAGAGAUAACCUCCCCAGGGUGUUCAAAUGCAGCAAUUACCAAGUUUUGAGCAUCAAUCUGAAGGCAAAAUUGAUAGUAAGAAAUCAGAAAUUACAUAAAAGCAAGCACCAAAAAAUCGAGUAAAAAUACUAGGGUUCAGGCAAAGUCUACAUGCCUUUUCAGUAUCAGAUAGCUUAUCUAUAGGAACAUACUGGCUGUCCGAAAGUAGUCCCAUCACUUGUCCCACAACAUUGAAGACCACACCACUUUUGUGUUGAGAAGCAGGAGCAUAAUGUCCUUUGGAGGCUAAGCGCUUAGCAAAUUGAAGAAGAGGGUUUAUGUGACCUUGAGCAGGAUAAGCCACAAUAAUUACAUGGCAUUUUAGUUUAGCCAUUUGCCUUUGUUUUAACUGUUGUUAUUUUGGGUUCUUUGGAUAAUGAUUUGAAGAGCUAUUUAUAGGCAAUGAUUUAAUGCUUGAAAUGAAAAUCCCUAAUUGCAUAUUCUUUUGCCUUUUCUUUCGAUAUUACAAAAAGUCAAAUUAUAUUAAAAAAAAAUUUUUUUGGUACAUUGAAUGAUUUGAAGAGCUAUUUGUAGGCCAUGAUUGUGGUGGAGUUAGCAAAAUAUUGAAAUUCUUCAGAGUAACAGUGAUGGUCGACAAUAGCUUUUCUUUUCCAAAAUCAUCUUCUAUGACCCUGGUGUGGCUUUAGCAGAAAUUAAGUCUUUUAGCAAAGCCACAGCAAAUCCUCCGCAGUUCCUGGUCAAACAAGCUAUAGCAAAAUUUUCAUCUAUCAUGAAGAUUUUUGAGGCACCAAAACUUGUCCUUUACGUCCCAGACAGACAUAAUGGAGACUACAAAUAUAAAAUCAAAGUUUAUUGAUAAAGAUUUUCAUCCCGAAGAUCUUGAAUGGUUCUCAAGAUACAUAACUUCUCAUCAAGAAUAUAUGAAAACCGAAAAGAAAGAUUUAAUUGCUUUUAUUGAAGAAAUGCUACAAAUACAAAAUAAUAAUCCGAUAUGAGAAUUGCAUAAAUUCUAGCAUGCCAGUUUUGCAGCUAUUAAGUCUUAUAUUCAGGCUUCAAUUUAAGCAAUGCAUCGCCAUCUACAUACUUACAAGUUUAAUAUUAAAAGAAAAGAUUUCCUAAUCUGUGCAGCAGAGCUAAAGACAUGUAAAGAGAGACAGAGAGAGAGAUUGGGAGUAUCUACAACUAAUGAAGCCAACUUAUCUCUACAACUGCACACAAAAUUUUACUCGGGCAGCAUUUUAUGAAUGCUAUAUCUUGCCACUGUGACUUGGUAACGUUUCUUUUUCACAUGGUCCAUUAAUGUCUAUGGAUUUCUCGAACACGAGUCCUUUUCAAAGCCACACGUCUCCUAAUAGCGAACCAUUUCAACACACUAGAGAUCUUUGUCCAUCUCCUCUGUGCCUCAGCAACAGCUGUGGAACGUGCCAACAGGAAGCCCUCAACAGCACUAUGUAAAUCAGCUGAUUCUUCCAAACCAAGGUUAUGAGACGGAAUAGCUGGAUCAAAAAACCGCAGAUGAUCGUCGUCACAAAAAGCUUGAGUCAUGGUAUCAGUGUCACAAAUGAGAUGGUUGGAGACUUGGCCUGAGAAACUCAAAGGAUGAUCAUAUCUAAGACCCAUAUUUUCA
rnacentral:lncRNA from 1 species